rnacentral:rRNA from 1 species
CCUAAAAUAGGUGGUAUGAUGAUUGUUUUGAGUGGUGCAACCCUCUUUUGUAAAAUCACUUGUGCACCCAACAUCUUCAUGAUUUGUGUACAUAGGGACUCAUUAGGUAGGUUUUUUCUUAUUUUUAGUUUCAAUACAAACUUAGGUACUCAUAUGGGACACCUUAGGUUUGUCAUACUUUUUGGUAGGAAUUAUCAACAUGAAAAUACAGAAAAAGGUAUGUUUUAUUGCAUUACUUUUCUUAAUUUUUUAAAUAGUGAUCAACGGGUUCCCAUGAACCCUAAGAGAAUAAAGGUCAUUCCUGAGUGGCCCGCUCCAUCAAGUAUAAGAAAAAUUUGGGGCUUCCACGACUUAACAAACUCUUACAAAAAGGUUUGUCCUAUAUUUUUCUAUACUUGUAGCACCACUCAUUGGGUUGGUGAGGAACCAUGUUCCUUCAUGGGAAGAUGCCCAGGAAAUGGGUUUUCAGACCUUACCUUACUUCAAUAUACCAAACACCACUAAUACAUAUGUUUUUGUUCUUUUUACAGGUGUUGAGGAAAAAAGCCUAGAGUUUCAAGAACCUCGGGAUUUGAGGUCAAAUCCUUUUCAAGGGGGAGGGAAUGAUGCAAUCCUACCUCGCAAGGGCAUUGGAUAGAAGACUCCAAGAAGGUUGGGCCAGAGAUGCAAGAGAAGGCCCUAGGGUUCUCAUGAGCCUUAGGGUAGAUUUUGGGCCCAUGGGCUAAGUAUGAGCCCGCUUAUCUUUGUACAUAUUAGAUUAAGGUUUCAUUAUUUUUUGGCCUUGUAUUUAGGGCUCCAUAAUAUAGGUAAGGUACCCUAGAAAUAUAGGAUUUUUCAGCCCUUGUAUUUUAGUGCACCUAGACUAGUUUUUGUAUUAGGGGUAGUUUUGUAAUUUCACAUGCACUAAGUGAAUAUUUGAUGUGUGUGUUGGGAAAUAAAUUUAAUUGAAUUGGUACAAGCCCAAUCCAAUUAAAUUUUAGAGGGGGAGGUGAGCAUUUUCUUACUACACCUCAUUGUCACAUCAUAUAGUCACACUUUGUGCAUGUCCUUCAUGCUUUAGAUGCCUCAUGACACCUAAGCACACUUAGUGGAGAAUAUUGGAAUUGAUCUUGGAUUAGUGGGCUGAACCAUAACUGAAAUUCACUAAUCAUAAUUAGUGAAAUUUUGGCUCCAAAAUUUGGCUCAACAAAUUCAAUUUCAAAUUCAAGUGAAAUUUGAAUUGAAAUUCAAAUUUCCCUCCAAUUUUGUGCGACACUAGGCUAUAAAUAAAGGUCAUGUGUGUGCAUUUUUUUCAACUUUGAUCAUUUGAAAAUUAAACUUCAUAUUUCAGAGCUCUUUUUAGAGCACAAAAUUUCGUGCUCUUCUCUUCCUCUCCCUUCAUUCAUCUCCUUCUUCCUCCAAGCUCUUAUCCAUGGCCUCCUAUGGUGGUGAGCUUCUUCUAGACUCAUCUUCUCCUUGAAGUGGUGUCUCCUCUCUCUCUUCCUUCUCCAUUCUGCUACCAUUCAUCUUCCAAGAAGCAAAGGAAUCCAUUGGUGAAGAAGAUCCUCGGCCUACAAGCUCCAAUGGAGCUUACAUCAGUACUUGUACCCGAAAUUGGCACAGGUGGGUAGGUAGAGAAUACCUAAGGGUGCGAGACAACUUUCUCUAAGGAACUUGAAAAAUAGCCCUGUAACUUCGGGAGAAGGGGUGCCUCCUCACAAAGGGGUCGUAGUGACUAGGCCCGGGCGACUGUUUACCAAAAACACAGGUCUUCUCAAAGUCGUAAGACCAUGUAUGGGGGCUGAUGCUUGCCCAGUGCCCGAAGGUCAAGGAAGUUGGUGACCUGAUGACAGGGGAGCCAACGACCGAGGCCCUAGUGAACAGAAAUCGUAAUUAUAACGAUCCUAAGGUAGCAAAAUUCCUUAUCGGGUAAGUUUCAACCCGCAUGAAAGGUGUAACGAUCUGGGCACUAUUUCUUGGGAUUGGCUUUGGGCUUUUCCUGUGCAACUUAGGUGGAGGGCAAAGAAGGCCUCCUUCUGGGGGGGAAGAGCUAUUAGUGAGAUACCACUCUAGAAGAGUUAGAAUUCUAACCUUGUGCGAGGACCUACGGGCUGAGGGACAGUCUCAAGUAGACAAAGGCCUUCCAAAAGGUAACGGACGCGUGCAAAGGUUUCCUCGGGCCAGACAGAGAUUGUCCCUUGAGUGCAAAGGCAGAAGGGAGCUUGACUGCAAGACCCACCCGUCGAGCAGGGAGGAAAGUCGGCCUUAGUGAUCCGACAAUGCCGAGUGGAAGGACUGCCGCUCAACAGAUAAAAGUUACUCCAAGGAUAACAGGCUAAUCAUCCCUAAGAGCUCACAUCGAUGGGAAGGUUUGGCACCUCGAUGUCGUCUCUUUGCCACCUGGGGCUAUAGUAUGUUCCAAGGGUUGGGUUGUUCGCCCAUUAAAGCGAUACGUGAGCUGGGUUCAAAACGUCGUGAGACAGUUCGGUCCAUAUCCAAUGUGGGCGUUAGAGCAUUGAGAGGAAUUUUCCCUAGUACGAGAGGACUGGGAAGGAUACACCUCUAGUGUGCCAGUUAUUGUGCCCACGAUAAACGUUGGGUAGCCAAGUGCAUAGCAGAUAAUUGCUGAAAGCAUCUAAGUAGUAAACCUACCCCAAGAUGAGUGCUCUCUUAUUCCGACUUCCUUAGAGCCUCCGGUAGCACAGUUGAGACAACGAUGGUGAUGCAAUCCUACCCCCAAAGGGUAUUGGAUAGAAGACUCCAAGAGGAUUGGGCUAGAGCUGCUAAAAAAGGCCCUAGGGUU